CUACAACUACGAGUUGGUCAAGUAGAGAAGUCAGCCGAGGUCAUAGUACCCACGAGAAACGAGUUGCAUAAAACUGCAUAGGUCUCACAAGUGGGGAAGGAC
rnacentral:ncRNA from 1 species